CUUUUGUGAACAUGUUUUAAUUUGUUUUCAUCACAGGCAUUUUAAGCCACCUGUUGUCCAGACCUUGUCGGCUGAAUAGCCUGCUGUGCUAAAGUUCACUGCAGAGAAGGCAUUGGUGGUUGACUGCAUCUUUUUACCUCGGGGUUAUCUAGUAGAGCUAUGCAAGUUUACUAGUUUGUGUUUUAUAGGUGGCCUUUUGAUAACAUGAUUUACAUUUCAGUGGGCCUAAACGUCUGAUGCGUAAAUAAGGUGGAGUCAGAGCUGGGUUGACUACUUACUGCAUUGUUUGAGUGUUCUGCCAGACGGACAGUGUGGUGGAUUUUGGGAACCCCUUUCCCCUUCACUGCAUGUGGUGAUGAAACAGGAUUCAUCACUCAAACAUUGAUACAGGUCACCAUUGGCAGUUUAACGCUCCAUUAAAUGCAUUGGCACACUUCCAGUA